rnacentral:rRNA from 1 species
UACGGGGGGGCAAGCGUGUUCGGAAUUACUGGGCGUAAAGAGCGCGCAGGCGGUCGUUCAAGUCGCGUGUGAAAGCCCCCCGGCUCCAACUGGGGGAGGGUCACGCGAUACUGAUCGACUCGAAGGCAGGAGAGGGAAGCGGAAUUCCCGGUGUAGUGGUGAAAUGCGUAGAUAUCGGGAGGAACACCAGUGGCGAAGGCGGCUUCCUGGCCUGUUCUUGACGCUGAGGCGG